UGUUACCAUGAUAAUCUGAUGAAGAAAUCGUGGGAAUAUUGAGGGAAUCAAAGGAUUGAAGAGAGAGAGUGUUCUUAUCGUUUUUUUUUAAAGAGAAGAAAUUUUUGAGUUCUUGCACUUGGGAAAAAUCUGGGCAGUAAAGAGCAUUGUAGAAUCAUUCUAGGGGAGGAAAUAAACAUUUUGAGUGUGAGAAAUACAUUUAUAAAGCCUCGGAUUGUGAUUCACCAUUUUUAUCCAAGAAAAUGCAUAUUCUUGGAUAAUUUUGGAUUUAAGUGUGUUCAAGAGUGUAUGGUGUGUGUGGUUGGUGAUAAACAAGCUUAGGGGACUCCAAUAAUCGGUUUUGACGUGAAGAAAUGGGCUGAAAUGGUCUAGAGCAAGAAAAACUAAUUUUGAGCUCCAUUUUUGGCGGUACACCGGACUUGGAGAAGAAGACUUCGGAACAAGGGGUUACGGACAUCUUUUUGGGCUGGGGUCUAUUGAUUUGAAGUUCUGGACAUAAGGGGAUCAUUUUCCAAGCAAGAUAAGGAUUGGAAAGCAGCAAAAGUCAGCCAUAGAGUCGCCGUCGCCGGAGAAGAAGACAAAACCGGCGAUAUUUCCGGCGAACCCGAUCUGGGUGUUUACUGAGGAGCUAGUGGUCAUCGAGGUGACGCAGCGAGUGGUUCGAGACACGUCAGCGGAAAACGCACUGUGUAAGGUAAAGGCAAAGCAAAGCAGUGAGUGGUGCGGGCUCGAGGCAUGGACGAAACAUGUUAGAGGCUGGGCUCCAGUUAUUUUAUGUUUUUAGAAAUAAAUGUUAUGUUUUUAAAUUUUCAGACUUGAAUGGUUAUUUUCCUUAUGUUUUGUUAUUAAACCUAGCGUCCAACAUUUUUAUUUUUAAAUAAUGAGAUCUCAUUGCUGCUUAAAUUUUAAAUACAUAUGUUCUCUUAGUGUCUUAAAGUAUUUAUUGUUUAUUAUUUUUAAAUGGACUCCCUAAGUAACGUCUCGGGAAAUCGGGGCGUUACAGUAUGGUAUCAGAGAAAAACGGUCCUAAAGAAUCUGUGAUAAGCCCUAACAUGUAAAGUUCAUCGCCAAGGACGAGCUCGACUCACUGUACUGUAAGCGGUUAAAGAUUACUUAAGAAUUUUUGC